AGGUUUAACAGUGGAUUUUGUACUUUUACAGCUACUCUUUGAUAAAGAUGAAGAUGAAGAUAAAUUUAUAUUGCUAGCUUGAUGAGCUCAAGAGUCUAGGUGAAGAUUUACAGUUCACAGCCACACUGUCUGAUGAAUUCUUGGUGCUCUAAACCUGAUUUUAUCCACCUCUCUGAAGGAGAUUCUGAGGGUCAGCUACAAUAUGGCAUUGGGUGUUUUAGUGUGUUAAUGUCUUAAAUUUACACUUUA
rnacentral:lncRNA from 1 species